rnacentral:rRNA from 1 species
GGUUAAGCGACUAAGCGUACACGGUGGAUGCCCUGGCAGUCAGAGGCGAUGAAGGACGUGCUAAUCUGCGAUAAGCGUCGGUAAGGUGAUAUGAACCGUUAUAACCGGCGAUUUCCGAAUGGGGAAACCCAGUGUGUUUCGACACACUAUCAUUAACUGAAUCCAUAGGUUAAUGAGGCGAACCGGGGGAACUGAAACAUCUAAGUACCCCGAGGAAAAGAAAUCAACCGAGAUUCCCCCAGUAGCGGCGAGCGAACGGGGAGCAGCCCAGAGCCUGAAUCAGUGUGUGUGUUAGUGGAAGCGUCUGGAAAGGCGCGCGAUACAGGGUGACAGCCCCGUACACAAAAAUGCACAUGCUGUGAGCUCGAUGAGUAGGGCGGGACACGUGGUAUCCUGUCUGAAUAUGGGGGGACCAUCCUCCAAGGCUAAAUACUCCUGACUGACCGAUAGUGAACCAGUACCGUGAGGGAAAGGCGAAAAGAACCCCGGCGAGGGGAGUGAAAAAGAACCUGAAACCGUGUACGUACAAGCAGUGGGAGCACGCUUAGGCGUGUGACUGCGUACCUUUUGUAUAAUGGGUCAGCGACUUAUAUUCUGUAGCAAGGUUAACCGAAUAGGGGAGCCGAAGGGAAACCGAGUCUUAACUGGGCGUUAAGUUGCAGGGUAUAGACCCGAAACCCGGUGAUCUAGCCAUGGGCAGGUUGAAGGUUGGGUAACACUAACUGGAGGACCGAACCGACUAAUGUUGAAAAAUUAGCGGAUGACUUGUGGCUGGGGGUGAAAGGCCAAUCAAACCGGGAGAUAGCUGGUUCUCCCCGAAAGCUAUUUAGGUAGCGCCUCGUGAAUUCAUCUCCGGGGGUAGAGCACUGUUUCGGCAAGGGGGUCAUCCCGACUUACCAACCCGAUGCAAACUGCGAAUACCGGAGAAUGUUAUCACGGGAGACACACGGCGGGUGCUAACGUCCGUCGUGAAGAGGGAAACAACCCAGACCGCCAGCUAAGGUCCCAAAGUCAUGGUUAAGUGGGAAACGAUGUGGGAAGGCCCAGACAGCCAGGAUGUUGGCUUAGAAGCAGCCAUCAUUUAAAGAAAGCGUAAUAGCUCACUGGUCGAGUCGGCCUGCGCGGAAGAUGUAACGGGGCUAAACCAUGCACCGAAGCUGCGGCAGCGACGCUGAUGCGUUGUUGGGUAGGGGAGCGUUCUGUAAGCCUGCGAAGGUGUGCUGUGAGGCAUGCUGGAGGUAUCAGAAGUGCGAAUGCUGACAUAAGUAACGAUAAAGCGGGUGAAAAGCCCGCUCGCCGGAAGACCAAGGGUUCCUGUCCAACGUUAAUCGGGGCAGGGUGAGUCGACCCCUAAGGCGAGGCCGAAAGGCGUAGUCGAUGGGAAACAGGUUAAUAUUCCUGUACUUGGUGUUACUGCGAAGGGGGGACGGAGAAGGCUAUGUUGGCCGGGCGACGGUUGUCCCGGUUUAAGCGUGUAGGCUGGUUUUCCAGGCAAAUCCGGAAAAUCAAGGCUGAGGCGUGAUGACGAGGCACUACGGUGCUGAAGCAACAAAUGCCCUGCUUCCAGGAAAAGCCUCUAAGCAUCAGGUAACAUCAAAUCGUACCCCAAACCGACACAGGUGGUCAGGUAGAGAAUACCAAGGCGCUUGAGAGAACUCGGGUGAAGGAACUAGGCAAAAUGGUGCCGUAACUUCGGGAGAAGGCACGCUGAUAUGUAGGUGAAGUCCCUCGCGGAUGGAGCUGAAAUCAGUCGAAGAUACCAGCUGGCUGCAACUGUUUAUUAAAAACACAGCACUGUGCAAACACGAAAGUGGACGUAUACGGUGUGACGCCUGCCCGGUGCCGGAAGGUUAAUUGAUGGGGUCAGCGCAAGCGAAGCUCUUGAUCGAAGCCCCGGUAAACGGCGGCCGUAACUAUAACGGUCCUAAGGUAGCGAAAUUCCUUGUCGGGUAAGUUCCGACCUGCACGAAUGGCGUAAUGAUGGCCAGGCUGUCUCCACCCGAGACUCAGUGAAAUUGAACUCGCUGUGAAGAUGCAGUGUACCCGCGGCAAGACGGAAAGACCCCGUGAACCUUUACUAUAGCUUGACACUGAACAUUGAGCCUUGAUGUGUAGGAUAGGUGGGAGGCUUUGAAGUGUGGACGCCAGUCUGCAUGGAGCCGACCUUGAAAUACCACCCUUUAAUGUUUGAUGUUCUAACGUGGACCCGUGAUCCGGGUUGCGGACAGUGUCUGGUGGGUAGUUUGACUGGGGCGGUCUCCUCCUAAAGAGUAACGGAGGAGCACGAAGGUUGGCUAAUCCUGGUCGGACAUCAGGAGGUUAGUGCAAUGGCAUAAGCCAGCUUGACUGCGAGCGUGACGGCGCGAGCAGGUGCGAAAGCAGGUCAUAGUGAUCCGGUGGUUCUGAAUGGAAGGGCCAUCGCUCAACGGAUAAAAGGUACUCCGGGGAUAACAGGCUGAUACCGCCCAAGAGUUCAUAUCGACGGCGGUGUUUGGCACCUCGAUGUCGGCUCAUCACAUCCUGGGGCUGAAGUAGGUCCCAAGGGUAUGGCUGUUCGCCAUUUAAAGUGGUACGCGAGCUGGGUUUAGAACGUCGUGAGACAGUUCGGUCCCUAUCUGCCGUGGGCGCUGGAGAACUGAGGGGGGCUGCUCCUAGUACGAGAGGACCGGAGUGGACGCAUCACUGGUGUUCGGGUUGUCAUGCCAAUGGCACUGCCCGGUAGCUAAAUGCGGAAGAGAUAAGUGCUGAAAGCAUCUAAGCACGAAACUUGCCCCGAGAUGAGUUCUCCCUGACCCUUUAAGGGUCCUGAAGGAACGUUGAAGACGACGACGUUGAUAGGCCGGGUGUGUAAGCGCAGCGAUGCGUUGAGCUAACCGGUACUAAUGAACCGUGAGGCUUAACCUU